rnacentral:rRNA from 1 species
AUUGAACGCUGGCGGCAGGCCUAACACAUGCAAGUCGAACGAGUGGCGGACGGGUGAGUAAUGUCUGGGAAACUGCCUGAUGGAGGGGGAUAACUACUGGAAACGGUAGCUAAUACCGCAUACCAUCGGAUGUGCCCAGAUGGGAUUAGCUAGUAGGUGGGGUAAAGGCUCACCUAGGCGACGAUCCCUAGCUGGUCUGAGAGGAUGAUCAGCCACACGGGAACUGGAACACGGUCCAGACUCCUACAGGAGGCGGAAGUGGGCAAUAUUGGACACUGUGCGCAAGCCUGAUGCAGCCAGGCCGCGUGUAUGAAGAAGGCCUUCGGGUUGUAAAGUACUUUCGGCGGGGAGGCGUUACCCGCAGAAGAAGCACCGGCUAACUACGUGCCAGCAGCCGCGGUAAUUC